rnacentral:rRNA from 1 species
UACGGAGGGGGCGAGCGUUAUUCGGAAUUACUGGGCGUAAAGGGCGCGUAGGCGGCCUGCUAAGUCGAACGUGAAAUCCCUGGGCUCAACCCAGGAACUGCGUCCGAUACUGGUUGGCUUGAAUCCGGGAGAGGGAUGUGGAAUUCCAGGUGUAGCGGUGAAAUGCGUAGAUAUCUGGAGGAACACCGGUGGCGAAGGCGACAUCCUGGACCGGUAUUGACGCUGAGGCGCGAAAGCCAGGGGAGCAAACGGG